GAUGAACGCUGGCGGCGUGCCUAAUACAUGCAAGUCGAGCGAACGGACGAGAAGCUUGCUUCUCUGAUGUUAGCGGAGGACGGGUGAGUAACAUGUGGAUAACCUACCUAUAAGACUGGGAUAACUUCGGGAAACCGGAGCUUAUACCGGAUAAUAUUCUGAACCGCAUGGUUCAAAAGUGAAAGACGGUCUUGCUGUCACUAAUAGAUGGAUCCGCGCUGCAUUAGCUAGUUGGGAAGGUAACGGCUUACCAAGGCAACGAUGCAUAGCCGACCUGAGAGGGUGAUCGGCCACCCUGGAACUGAGACACGGUCCAGACUCCUACGGGAGGCAGCAGUAGGGAAUCUUCCGCAAUGGGCGAAAGCCUGACGGAGCAACGCCGCGUGAGUGAUGAAGGUCUUCGGAUCGUAAAUCUCUGUUAUUAGGGAAGAACAUAUUUGUAAGUAACUGUGCACAUCUUGACGGUACCUAAUCAGAAAGCCACGGCUAACUACGUG
rnacentral:rRNA from 1 species